UGCACUUUAAAAGUGCAGCUUUACCUUUUAUUUGUGGAUUCUAGUACACUUUUACUAAAUCAAUCAACAAUAAGGCAAUAACCACAACUUACACAAGCCUAUUCUGGCAGAAACACGAGCCCCUAAUAUGGGGGUGUUUGUCACUUAUUUAGAUGUUUUGCCUUGUGUUUGUUAUAAUCUGUGAGGUUUAAUAAAACAUUUGUGUAUCUCGUAGGAGCAAUCUAGUGUGCAAUCUCUUCUUUAUUAUAGAGUAACCCUUCUAUCACAAGUCCUGGUUUUUGAUAAAAUCUUG